ensembl:miRNA
AAAAAUCUUUGGGCUAGGUUAGUUCUAUUUUAUGAUCUGUUAUGAAAUGGGUUAAGGAAAAGGAUCCAUGUGGAAGAAAGAUCAGAGA